CGUCACUCCCGCUAUUUUCACGCGUGUAUUUUUGUUGUCAUUUGGAACGGUGCUCAAAAGAAAUCAGCAUGUCUGGAAGAGAAGGUGGUAAAAAGAAGCCACUGAAGCAACCAAAGAAAGGACCAAAGGAUAUGGAUGAUGAUGAUGUAGCCUUGAAACAAAAACAGAGGGAAGAGCAGAAGAAAUUGCAAGAAGCCAAGGCUAAAGCUAGCCAGAAAGGCCCAAUGGGUUCAGGUGGCAUUAAAAAAUCUGGCAAGAAAUGACCCAACGUUCCACGACAACAGCUUUACAUGUACAUGGUACAUCAUCCGUGCUCAAACUCCCUCGCUGUCACAGCAUAGACAAACUCCACUGAAUUUCAAUUCAGAGACAUCAACAAACCCUCAAUGUCAUUCUAGUCCAGUUGAUUAUUUGAUUGAGUACAUACUAAACUGAAACACUGUUUGAUAAUAACUUGAGGACAAAUAAUUCCUAAUGGAAAUUAUGCUUCACCUAUACACGAUGGAGAACAGUCUAUUGUUUUGUUGAGGAUUUCUAGCAAGAUAUCUUUAGUUAUUUAAUCCUUUUGAAGGUCAUUAGAAAUCCCAAAAACCCUUUAGUUUUCUUCACAUUGAGUUGUUAUCUUGUUCAUCUCAAAAGCUUCAUGUUGCUUUGAACGGAUAUUUGUACCAUUUACACACUUAAAAUUAAUUUUGGUUUCUUUGGCAUUUUCAAUUCAUUUGAAUCCUUUCAAAUCCAUGCAUGCCUGUGUCAUUUUGUCUUCAGUCUUUAAAAAGACCUUACAUUUACAUGGUUUUGGGGUAACGUUGAAAAAAGGCUCCGGCAUGUUCUUGAAUUUGAAAGGUUCUUACCAUUUGAGGGUGGAGGUACGUUUUAUGUUUUUAUUUUACAAAUGGGUAAAUAUUUCUCUGACGUUAAAAUGAUAAUGAUGACCAAGUACAUGUACUCUAAUACUGAGCUUCGUACUACUGACAACUAAAACAGGGGUUUCAUACUUCAUGACUUACAGGGCCGUAUUAGCAGGGGAGGGGGCUACUGUUCCCCCCCCCCCCAUCCCUUUGAGAUCUUACAUAGGCCCCAAAUCAGUCCAAUGAAAUGUUCAGACACAGGCUGAAAAGAUUAGGUCAUUAUCUUGAUUCUGCACUGGUUUUAAAAUAUUGUAAAAAACCAUUGCAGGAAAAUAUACUAACCUGUGGUCAUUUAUCAAUAAAGUAUUGGUGAUUUUAA